rnacentral:rRNA from 1 species
UGCAAGUCGAGCGGUAAGGCCCUUCGGGGUACACGAGCGGCGAACGGCUGAGUAACGCGUGGGAAUCCACCCCAAAGUGAGGGAUAAGCACCGGAAACGGUGUCUAAUACCGCAUGUGGUCUUCGGAUUAAAGUAUUUAUACGCUCUGGGAGGAGCCCGCGUCCGAUUAGGUUGUUGGUGAGGUAAUGGCUCACCAAGCCUACGAUCGGUAACUGGUCUGAGAGGAUGAUCAGUCAGACUGGAACUGAGACACGGUCCAGACUCCUACGGGAGGCAGCAGUCAGGAAUAUUCCACAAUGGGGGCAACCCUGAUGGAGCAACGCCGCGUGCAGGAUGAAGGCCCUCGGGUCGUAAACUGCUUUUGUAUAUGAAGAAUAUGACGGUAAUAUACGAAUAAGGAUCGGCUAACUCCGUGCCAGCAGCCGCGGUCAUACGGAGGAUCCGAGCGUUAUCCGGAGUGACUGGGCGUAAAGAGUUGCGUAGGUGGACAAGUUAGCGAAUAGUGAAACCUGGUGGCUCAACCACACAGACUAUUAUUCGAACUGCUUGUCUUGAGAAUGGUAGAGGUAACUGGAACUUCUAGUGUAGGAGUGAAAUCCGUAGAUAUUAGAAGGAACACCAAUGGCGUAGGCAGGUUACUGGACCAUUUCUGACACUAAGGCACGAAAGCGUGGGGAGCGAACCGGAUUAGAUACCCGGGUAGUCCACGCCGUAAACGAUGGAUACUAGCUGUUGGAGGUAUCGACCCCUUCAGUAGCGAAGCUAACGCGUUAAGUAUCCCGCCUGUGGAGUACGGUCGCAAGACUAAAACAUAAAGGAAUUGACGGGGAGCCGCACAAGCGGUGGAGCAUGUUCUUUAAUUCGAUGCAAACCGAAGAACCUUACCAACACUUGACAUCCUUGGAAUUUUGCCGAAAGGCGAGAGUGCUUUAU